GAUGAACGCUGGCGGCGUGCCUAAUACAUGCAAGUCGAGCGAACGGACGAGAAGCUUGCUUCUCUGAUGUUAGCGGCGGACGGGUGAGUAACACGUGGAUAACCUACCUAUAAGACUGGGAUAACUUCGGGAAACCGGAGCUAAUACCGGAUAAUAUUUUGAACCGCAUGGUUCAAAAGUGAAAGACGGUCUUGCUGUCACUUAUAGAUGGAUCCGCGCUGCAUUAGCUAGUUGGUAAGGUAACGGCUUACCAAGGCAACGAUGCAUAGCCGACCUGAGAGGGUGAUCGGCCACACUGGAACUGAGACACGGUCCAGACUCCUACGGGAGGCAGCAGUAGGGAAUCUUCCGCAAUGGGCGAAAGCCUGACGGAGCAACGCCGCGUGAGUGAUGGAGGUCUUCGGAUCGUAAAACUCUGUUAUUAGGGAAGAACAUAUGUGUAAGUAACUGUGCACAUCUUGACGGUACCUAAUCAGAAAGCCACGGCUAACUACGUGCCAGCAGCCGCGGUAAUACGUAGGUGGCAAGCGUUAUCCGGAAAUAUUUGGGCGUAAAGCGCGCGUAGGCGGUUUUUUAGUCUGAUGUGAAAGCCCGCGGCUCAACCGUGGAGGGUCAUUGGAAACUGGAAAACUUGAGUGCAGAAGAGGAAAGUGGAAUUCCAUGUGUAGCGGUGAAAUGCGCAGAGAUAUGGAGGAACACCAGUGGCGAAGGCGACUUUCUGGUCUGUAACUGACGCUGAUGUGCGAAAGCGUGGGGAUCAAACAGGAUUAGAUACCCUGGUAGUCCACGCCGUAAACGAUGAGUGCUAAGUGUUAGGGGGUUUCCGCCCCUUAGUGCUGCAGCUAACGCAUUAAGCACUCCGCCUGGGGAGUACGACCGCAAGGUUGAAACUCAAAGGAAUUGACGGGGACCCGCACAAGCGGUGGAGCAUGUGGUUUAAUUCGAAGCAACGCGAAGAACCUUACCAAAUCUUGACAUCCUUUGACAACUCUAGAGAUAGAGCUUUCCCCUUCGGGGGACAAAGUGACAGGUGGUGCAUGGUUGUCGUCAGCUCGUGUCGUGAGAUGUUGGGUUAAGUCCCGCAACGAGCGCAACCCUUAAGCUUAGUUGCCAUCAUUAAGUUGGGCACUCUAAGUUGACUGCCGGUGACAAACCGGAGGAGGGUGGGGAUGACGUCAAAUCAUCAUGCCCCUUAUGAUUUGGGCUACACACGUGCUACAAUGGACAAUACAAAGGGCAGCGAAACCGUGAGGUCAAGCAAAUCCCAUAAAGUUGUUCUCAGUUCGGAUUGUAGUCUGCAACUCGACUACAUGAAGCUGGAAUCGCUAGUAAUCGUAGAUCAGCAUGCUACGGUGAAUACGUUCCCGGGUCU
rnacentral:rRNA from 1 species